AGCUUCUCAUGAGCUCCUGUUAAUCUUGACCAUGAUUGUGCAUGGAUUUGCACGAGAAGCAGAGCUAAUGCACAGUUAAAACAGGUGUACCCUGCUGUGGGUGUUGCUUAUGUCUGCUGUGCAACAAGU